rnacentral:rRNA from 1 species
AUUGAACGCUGGCGGCAGGCCUAACACAUGCAAGUCGAGCGGAUGAAGGGAGCUUGCUCCUGGAUUCAGCGGCGGACGGGUGAGUAAUGCCUAGGAAUCUGCCUGGUAGUGGGGGAUAACGUCCGGAAACGGGCGCUAAUUCCGCAUACGUCCUGAGGGAGAAAGUGGGGGAUCUUCGGACCUCACGCUAUCAGAUGAGCCUAGGUCGGAUUAGCUAGUUGGUGGGGUAAAGGCCUACCAAGGCGACGAUCCGUAACUGGUCUGAGAGGAUGAUCAGUCACACUGGAACUGAGACACGGUCCAGACUCCUACGGGAGGCAGCAGUGGGGAAUAUUGGACAAUGGGCGAAAGCCUGAUCCAGCCAUGCCGCGUGUGUGAAGAAGGUCUUCGGAUUGUAAAGCACUUUAAGUUGGGAGGAAGGGCAGUAAGUUAAUACCUUGCUGUUUUGACGUUACCAACAGAAUAAGCACCGGCGAACUUCGU